CAGAACUCGAUAAACAUUUACAAUGCCAGUGGAAACCCCCAACUCUCCAAAGUUUCGGAUGCGGCACCGAAACAGAUGCACAUGCUCCUCAGUCUGGCCUAUCUAAUGGGUCUUCUACAGGCAAGGUCAGGAUGGUGUUGAAGGUGGAACCUCUUCCAAAUGGAUCUGGCCAUUUCUUUAACCUCACCCUUGGGUAGAGCUUGAGAAACUCUUAGAUGACUC